GUAUCACUGUAGGGGGUAGAGCACUGUUUCGGCUAGGGGGUCAUCCCGACUUACCAAACCGAUGCAAACUCCGAAUACCUACAAGUGCCGAGCAUGGGAGACACACGGCGGGUGCUAACGUCCGUCGUGAAAAGGGAAACAACCCAGACCGUCAGCUAAGGUCCCAAAGUUAUGGUUAAGUGGGAAACGAUGUGGGAAGGCUUAGACAGCUAGGAGGUUGGCUUAGAAGCAGCCACCCUUUAAAGAAAGCGUAAUAGCUCACUAGUCGAGUCGGCCUGCGCGGAAGAUGUAACGGGGCU
rnacentral:rRNA from 1 species